rnacentral:lncRNA from 1 species
GCAGGUAUGAGGGUCGGGGAAGGAAUGCGUCGUGGGUGGAAACGGUUGCUGCAACGUGGGUCGUGCAGCACCGGGGCUGGAUGCUGAAGCUUCUAGGUUUUUUUAUUUUUAGUUUUAGGCUAAUUUGGGUUUGAGAAAAAUUGGAUAAUGGGCCUUAGUUAUUUGGGUUAAUUUUUGGACUGGUGUAAUGAAUAUUUGGGUUGGUCUUGUUCUGAGUGGGCCGGGCAAAAAUGGGCUAUUACA